rnacentral:misc_RNA from 1 species
AUUAUGUUAAAGCGCCUUACCUUAGGGUUUCCUCUGGGGUAAGUGAUUGCUUCUACACUGUGAAAAUUUGGCUGAGAGACUCAGACUGGUCAUGGGUAGACCUAUCUGGGGUUUGAUCGAUGCCACUCCUGGUUUCAGGAGUACCCUUCAUAAUAAACCUAGAAAUUCAGUAUUAUAAAGUUUAAUAAAAAA